AGUGAACGCUGGCGGUAGGCCUAACACAUGCGAGUCGAACGGCAGCACAGUAAGAGCUUGCUCUUACGGGUGGCGAGUGGCGGACGGGUGAGGAAUACAUCGGAAUCUACUUUUUCGUGGGGGAUAACGUAGGGAAACUUACGCUAAUACCGCAUACGACCUACGGGUGAAAGCAGGGGAUCUUCGGACCUUGCGCGAUUGAAUGAGCCGAUGUCGGAUUAGCUAGUUGGCGGGGUAAAGGCCCACCAAGGCGACGAUCCGUAGCUGGUCUGAGAGGAUGAUCAGCCACACUGGAACUGAGACACGGUCCAGACUCCUACGGGAGGCAGCAGUGGGGAAUAUUGGACAAUGGGCGCAAGCCUGAUCCAGCCAUACCGCGUGGGUGAAGAAGGCCUUCGGGUUGUAAAGCCCUUUUGUUGGGAAAGAAAAGCAGCAGGUUAAUACCCCGCUGUUCUGACGGUACCCAAAGAAUAGGCACCGGCUAACUUCGU
rnacentral:rRNA from 1 species